rnacentral:rRNA from 1 species
GGGUUGUGAGGUUAAGCGACUAAGCGUACACGGUGGAUGCCCUGGCAGUCAGAGGCGAUGAAGGACGUGCUAAUCUGCGAUAAGCGUCGGUGAGGUGAUAUGAACCGUUAUAACCGGCGAUUUCCGAAUGGGGAAACCCAGUGUGUUUCGACACACUAUCAUUAACUGAAUCCAUAGGUUAAUGAGGCGAACCGGGGGAACUGAAACAUCUAAGUACCCCGAGGAAAAGAAAUCAACCGAGAUUCCCCCAGUAGCGGCGAGCGAACGGGGAGGAGCCCAGAGCCUGAAUCAGUGUGUGUGUUAGUGGAAGCGUCUGGAAAGGCGCGCGAUACAGGGUGACAGCCCCGUACACAAAAAUGCACAUAUUGUGAGCUCGAUGAGUAGGGCGGGACACGUGGUAUCCUGUCUGAAUAUGGGGGGACCAUCCUCCAAGGCUAAAUACUCCUGACUGACCGAUAGUGAACCAGUACCGUGAGGGAAAGGCGAAAAGAACCCCGGCGAGGGGAGUGAAAAAGAACCUGAAACCGUGUACGUACAAGCAGUGGGAGCCUCUUAAUGGGGUGACUGCGUACCUUUUGUAUAAUGGGUCAGCGACUUAUAUUCUGUAGCAAGGUUAACCGAAUAGGGGAGCCGAAGGGAAACCGAGUCUUAACUGGGCGUUAAGUUGCAGGGUAUAGACCCGAAACCCGGUGAUCUAGCCAUGGGCAGGUUGAAGGUUGGGUAACACUAACUGGAGGACCGAACCGACUAAUGUUGAAAAAUUAGCGGAUGACUUGUGGCUGGGGGUGAAAGGCCAAUCAAACCGGGAGAUAGCUGGUUCUCCCCGAAAGCUAUUUAGGUAGCGCCUCGUGAAUUCAUCUCCGGGGGUAGAGCACUGUUUCGGCAAGGGGGUCAUCCCGACUUACCAACCCGAUGCAAACUGCGAAUACCGGAGAAUGUUAUCACGGGAGACACACGGCGGGUGCUAACGUCCGUCGUGAAGAGGGAAACAACCCAGACCGCCAGCUAAGGUCCCAAAGUCAUGGUUAAGUGGGAAACGAUGUGGGAAGGCCCAGACAGCCAGGAUGUUGGCUUAGAAGCAGCCAUCAUUUAAAGAAAGCGUAAUAGCUCACUGGUCGAGUCGGCCUGCGCGGAAGAUGUAACGGGGCUAAACCAUGCACCGAAGCUGCGGCAGCGACACUAUGUGUUGUUGGGUAGGGGAGCGUUCUGUAAGCCUGUGAAGGUGGCCUGUGAGGGUUGCUGGAGGUAUCAGAAGUGCGAAUGCUGACAUAAGUAACGAUAAAGCGGGUGAAAAGCCCGCUCGCCGGAAGACCAAGGGUUCCUGUCCAACGUUAAUCGGGGCAGGGUGAGUCGACCCCUAAGGCGAGGCCGAAAGGCGUAGUCGAUGGGAAACAGGUUAAUAUUCCUGUACUUGGUGUUACUGCGAAGGGGGGACGGAGAAGGCUAUGUUGGCCGGGCGACGGUUGUCCCGGUUUAAGCGUGUAGGCUGGUUUUCCAGGCAAAUCCGGAAAAUCAAGGCUGAGGCGUGAUGACGAGGCACUACGGUGCUGAAGCGACAAAUGCCCUGCUUCCAGGAAAAGCCUCUAAGCAUCAGGUAACAUCAAAUCGUACCCCAAACCGACACAGGUGGUCAGGUAGAGAAUACCAAGGCGCUUGAGAGAACUCGGGUGAAGGAACUAGGCAAAAUGGUGCCGUAACUUCGGGAGAAGGCACGCUGAUAUGUAGGUGAAGCGACUUGCUCGUGGAGCUGAAAUCAGUCGAAGAUACCAGCUGGCUGCAACUGUUUAUUAAAAACACAGCACUGUGCAAACACGAAAGUGGACGUAUACGGUGUGACGCCUGCCCGGUGCCGGAAGGUUAAUUGAUGGGGUUAGCGGUAACGCGAAGCUCUUGAUCGAAGCCCCGGUAAACGGCGGCCGUAACUAUAACGGUCCUAAGGUAGCGAAAUUCCUUGUCGGGUAAGUUCCGACCUGCACGAAUGGCGUAAUGAUGGCCAGGCUGUCUCCACCCGAGACUCAGUGAAAUUGAACUCGCUGUGAAGAUGCAGUGUACCCGCGGCAAGACGGAAAGACCCCGUGAACCUUUACUAUAGCUUGACACUGAACAUUGAGCCUUGAUGUGUAGGAUAGGUGGGAGGCUUUGAAGUGUGGACGCCAGUCUGCAUGGAGCCGACCUUGAAAUACCACCCUUUAAUGUUUGAUGUUCUAACGUGGGCCCCUUACCGGGGUUGCGGACAGUGUCUGGUGGGUAGUUUGACUGGGGCGGUCUCCUCCUAAAGAGUAACGGAGGAGCACGAAGGUUGGCUAAUCCUGGUCGGACAUCAGGAGGUUAGUGCAAUGGCAUAAGCCAGCUUGACUGCGAGCGUGACGGCGCGAGCAGGUGCGAAAGCAGGUCAUAGUGAUCCGGUGGUUCUGAAUGGAAGGGCCAUCGCUCAACGGAUAAAAGGUACUCCGGGGAUAACAGGCUGAUACCGCCCAAGAGUUCAUAUCGACGGCGGUGUUUGGCACCUCGAUGUCGGCUCAUCACAUCCUGGGGCUGAAGUAGGUCCCAAGGGUAUGGCUGUUCGCCAUUUAAAGUGGUACGCGAGCUGGGUUUAGAACGUCGUGAGACAGUUCGGUCCCUAUCUGCCGUGGGCGCUGGAGAACUGAGGGGGGCUGCUCCUAGUACGAGAGGACCGGAGUGGACGCAUCACUGGUGUUCGGGUUGUCAUGCCAAUGGCACUGCCCGGUAGCUAAAUGCGGAAGAGAUAAGUGCUGAAAGCAUCUAAGCACGAAACUUGCCCCGAGAUGAGUUCUCCCUGACUCCUUGAGAGUCCUGAAGGAACGUUGAAGACGACGACGUU